rnacentral:rRNA from 1 species
UACGGGGGGGGCAAGCGUUGUUCGGAAUUACUGGGCGUAAAGGGCUCGUAGGUGGCCAACUAAGUCAGACGUGAAAUCCCUCGGCUUAACCGGGGAACUGCGUCUGAUACUGGAUGGCUGGAGUACGGGAGAGGGAUGCGGAAUUCCAGGUGUAGCGGUGAAAUGCGUAGAUAUCUGGAGGAACACCGGUGGCGAAGGCGGCAUCCUGGGCCAUUACUGACGCUGAGGAGCGAAAGCGUGGGGAGCGAACAGG